MARAAAAACCCGCCAAAGAACUACAAGCGCAAGCUUAAAACUUAAAGGACUUGACGGUGCCCCAUCUACCUAGAGGAGCCUGUUCUAUAAUCGAUAAUCCUCGCUAUACCUCACCUUUUUUAGCUAACCAGUCUGUAUACUUCCGUCGUAAGCUUACCAUAUGAAUGCAUCAGUAAGUUAAAUAGUAAAUACAUUACCAAAACGUCAGGUCAAAGUGCAGCCUACAAAAAGGGAAGAAAUGGGCUACAAUUUCUAAUAAAGAACACACGAAUUUAAGUAAUUGAAAACUACUAUGAAGGCGGAUUUAGAAGUAAAACGAAAACAAAGUGUUCGUUUUAACAAUGCUCUGGGACGCGUACACACCGCCCGUCAUCCU
rnacentral:rRNA from 1 species